ACGCACCUUUCGGGGUGAGUGGCGGACGGGUGAGUAACGCGUGAGAAUCUGCCUAGAGGUCGGGGACAACCAUUGGAAACGAUGGCUAAUACCGGAUAUGCCUUACGGGGUGAAAGAUUAAUCGCCUUUAGAAGAGCUCGCGUCUGAUUAGCUAGUUGGUAGGGUAAAAGCCUACCAAGGCAUCGAUCAGUAGCUGGUCUGAGAGGAUGACCAGCCACACUGGGACUGAGACACGGCCCAGACUCCUACGGGAGGCAGCAGUGGGGAAUUUUCCGCAAUGGGCGAAAGCCUGACGGAGCAAGACCGCGUGAGGGAGGAAGGCCCUUGGGUCGUAAACCUCUUUUGUCAGGGAAGAACAAAAUGACGGUACCUGACGAAUCAGCAUCGGCUAACUCCGUGCCAGCAGCCGCGGUAAUACGGAGGAUGCAAGCGUUAUCCGGAAUUAUUGGGCGUAAAGCGUCCGCAGGUGGCUGAUCAAGUCUGCGGUCAAAGACCGGGGCUUAACCCUGGAAAGGCCGUGGAAACUGAUCAAGCUAGAGUACCGUAGGGGUAGAGGGAAUUCCCGGUGUAGCGGUGAAAUGCGUAGAGAUCGGGAAGAACAUCGGUGGCGAAAGCGCUCUACUGGACGGUGACUGACACUCAGGGACGAAAGCUAGGGGAGCGAAUGGGAUUAGAUACCCCAGUAGUCCUAGCCGUA
rnacentral:rRNA from 1 species